rnacentral:rRNA from 1 species
GACGUAGGGGGCAAGCGUUAUUCGGAAUCAUUGGGCGUAAAGCGCUCGUAGGCGGAUCGGACAGUCGGUGAAGAAAGACCCGGGCUCAACUCGGGGAACGGCACCGAUACUAUCGAUCUUGAGGCAAUCAGAGGGUGAUGGAAUUCCCGGUGUAGCGGUGAAAUGCGUAGAUAGUCGGGAGGAACACCAGUGGCGAAGGCGAAUCACCUGG